UACGUAGGUGGCAAGCGUUGUCCGGAUUUAUUGGGCGUAAAGAGCGUGUAGGCGGCUAGGUAGGUCCGUUGUGAAAACUCGAGGCUCAACCUCGAGACGUCGAUGGAAACCAUCUGGCUAGAGUCCGGAAGAGGAGAAUGGAAUUCCCGGUGUAGCGGUGAAAUGCGCAGAUAUCGGGAAGAACACCCGUGGCGAAGGCGGUUCUCUGGGACGGUACUGACGCUGAGACGCGAAAGCGUGGGGAGCGAACAGG
rnacentral:rRNA from 1 species